GACGAACGCUGGCGGCGUGCCUAAUACAUGCAAGUAGAACGCUGAAGGAGGAGCUUGCUUCUCUGGAUGAGUUGCGAACGGGUGAGUAACGCGUAGGUAACCUGCCUGGUAGCGGGGGAUAACUAUUGGAAACGAUAGCUAAUACCGCAUAAUAGCAGUUAUUGCAUGAUAACUGUUUGAAAGGUGCAAUUGCACCACUACCAGAUGGACCUGCGUUGUAUUAGCUAGUUGGUGGGGUAACGGCUCACCAAGGCGACGAUACAUAGCCGACCUGAGAGGGUGAUCGGCCACACUGGGACUGAGACACGGCCCAGACUCCUACGGGAGGCAGCAGUAGGGAAUCUUCGGCAAUGGACGGAAGUCUGACCGAGCAACGCCGCGUGAGUGAAGAAGGGUUUCGGAUCGUAAAGCUCUGUUGUAAGAGAAGAACGAGUGUGAGAGUGGAAAGUUCACACUGUGACGGUAUCUUACCAGAAAGAGACGGCUAACUACGUG
rnacentral:rRNA from 1 species